UACGAAGGGGGCUAGCGUUGCUCGGAAUUACUGGGCGUAAAGGGCGCGUAGGCGGAUAUUUAAGUUAGAGGUGAAAGCCCAGGGCUCAACCCUGGAAUAGCCUUUAAUACUGGAUAUCUUGAGUUCGGGAGAGGUGAGUGGAACUCCGAGUGUAGAGGUGAAAUUCGUAGAUAUUCGGAAGAACACCAGUGGCGAAGGCGACUCACUGGCCCGAUACUGACGCUGGGGCGCGAAAGCGUGGGGAGCAAACAGG
rnacentral:rRNA from 1 species